GAUAUAUGUGGCUCAGUGGUCUAAAGCAUUAGUGGUCUUAAAUAUAAGAGGUUGCUGGUUCAAGCCCUGCUUGUAUCA